GGGGAUAUAGCUCAGUUGGUAGAGCAGGAAACUCUUAAUUUCAUGGUUGCAGGUUCGAUCCCUGUUAUCCCCA
rnacentral:tRNA from 1 species